rnacentral:rRNA from 1 species
UACGGGGGGGGCAAGCGUUGUUCGGAAUUACUGGGCGUAAAGGGCGCGUAGGCGGUCUGUUAAGUCGGAUGUGAAAACUCUGGGCUCAACCCAGAGCCUGCAUCCGAAACUGGCAGGCUAGAGUUCUGGAGGGGGUAGCGGAAUUCCUGGUGUAGCGGUGAAAUGCGUAGAUAUUGGGAGGAACACCAGUGGCGAAGGCGGCUACCUGGACCGGUUCUGGCGCUGAGGCGCGAAAGCGUGGGUAGCAAACAGG